UCUACGUAGUAGAAGUGGACACUUCUUGUACACUUUGUAAGGCAACCCACUUGGUCCAGGGGCUGAUGCUGUCCUUGCCUUUUUUACCACCUCCUCCACUUCCUUCCAGGUUGGUUCUCUGGUCACCAAAGGUUCCGAGGGGAGUGGCACCCUGAUGAUCUUUGGGUGGCUGCUCAAACGUUCAUACCUCUGUGGGUCACAGUGUGUCACCCUCAGAGCUUCUUCAACCUCCUCCUUAGAGCUGCUGAGUGUUCCUGAUCUUGCUUCUCCUAAUAAGGUUUUAGUAAACCUAUAGGGAUCUUUGAUUAACUGUGCGCUUCUUGCCCCCUGAUGUUAGGUCUCCAAUUCCCUCUUUUUCCCCUUCGGUGGCAUUCUUGAACUGCCUGGAUAGUGUCUUAAUCUCUCUCCGCAAGCUCUGCAUCUCCCUCUCCCUCCGAUUUGGUGACCGGACAUUAAGGGUGCUGGUCUUCCUCUCCUCGACACCAAACCACCCCUUGGCCACAUUGUAGGUGAUCGCCGUCAUCGUUGCCAUCUUCUGUUCAGCAGCCCCUACCAGAGCAGUUUCAAGAAUCUUACACAGGUCCUCAUUCAGCUGCUGCCACUCUUUGUUGCUGUUCAUUUUCGGCCAUUUUACUCUAUCGUUUGCAGGUUGAGGUUGCCGGGAGGCAUCAGAGUUGACCGCUGUGUGGUUCAAAGGCAAAGCCGUUGCCAAGAGAUCUCCAGUGCUGUGGGGUGCCUCCUGACUGGGGUUCUCCUGCGUCUGACGUGGUGUUGCCACCCUGCGCUGCAACAAAGAAGAAACAAUUGCUGUAAGUUCCAACACCACACCUAAUAUUACUAGAUGGGCAGCAGCAUUCGCCAUCAGCAUUCGGGAACAGUGCCACUUGCCACAGAGAACAGUCAACACUGUCAUCUCAGGGGUACAACAAUAUCAAGCUGCCCUCCUUGACACGCUAAGAGACAGAAUCAAAACGGUGUUUGAAGCAAAUCGAUGAGGUUUUGGCUCAGUUCGAUAAAUACUUGGAUCCUUUCUCAACCACAGCAUAUGGACAGGAUAAAACCAUCCGUGAGUUAUUCAGUCCUGUCAAUC